UACGAAGGGGGCUAGCGUUGCUCGGAAUCACUGGGCGUAAAGGGUGCGUAGGCGGGUUUUUAAGUCAGGGGUGAAAUCCUGGAGCUCAACUCCAGAACUGCCUUUGAUACUGAAGAUCUUGAGUCCGGGAGAGGUGAGUGGAACUGCGAGUGUAGAGAUGAAAUUCGUAGAUAUUCGCAAGAACACCAGUGGCGAAGGCGGCUCACUGGCCCGGUACUGACGCUGAGGCACGAAAGCGUGGGGAGCAAACAGG
rnacentral:rRNA from 1 species